ensembl:lncRNA
GAUGGAUCAGGGCAGGCUGGGAUCAUGGAAUCAAUCAUGGAAUCAUGGAAUCAUGGAAUCAUGGAAUCAUGGAAUCAUGGAAUCAUGGAAUGGUUUGGGUUGGAAGGGACCAGAAAGAUCCAAACCCCUGCCAGGGUUUGGGCAGGGACACCUUCCCCUAUCCCAGGCUGCUCCAAGCGCUGUCCAGCCCUGCCCCGGACACUUCCAGGGAUGUGACCCCAUGGCUGCUUCACUCCCACGGUGUCACAUCCCUCCUUUAAUGCACUUCCUGGGCUGUGGGGAGGGGGUCCCGCUGUCCCCACGGUGUCCCCACAGUGUCCCCACAGUGUCCCCGCACUGUCUGGGGCUGCUGCUGUCUCUGCGGAGCUCCGAGGACCCCGUUCAGAGCUCUGAGGUCACUGUUCGGAGCUCCGAGAACACCGUUCAGAGGCCUGAGGUCGCCGUUUGGAGCUCCGAGAACCCCGUUUGGAGCUCCUAGGAUGCCAUUCGGAGCUCUGAGGACGCCGUUCAAAGCUCUGAGGUCACCUUUUGGAGCUCCGAGGACGCCGUUUGGAGCCCUGAGAACACCGUUCGGAGCUCCAGGGAUGCCGUUCGGAGCUACGAGGUCGCUAUUUGGAGCUCCAAGGACACCGUUCAGAGCCCAGAGAACACCAUUCGGAGUUCCGAGGUCACUGUUCGGAGCUCCGAGGACCCCGUUCAGAGCUCUGAGAACGCCGUUUGGAGCUCUGAAGUCACCAUUCAGAGCUCCGAGGUCGCCGUUCAGAGCUCCGAGGUCGCCGUUUGGAGCUCCGAGGUCGCCGUUCGGUGCUCCGAGGUCGCCGUUUGGAGCUUCGAGGUCGCCGUUCGGAGCUCCGAGGACCCCGUGCGGCCGCCGCGGACACGGCGGGGACAGAGGGAGCCACGGCCGGGAUCCGGCUCCUUCUCCCUGUUAUUCCAGAAAUCCUGGGGAGCCGGGCCGAGCUCUCAUUCCUGGGAAUGAACCCGCUGCAGGAUUGAUGGAAGAGGUGACAGCGACUGGGGAAGGACGGAAUCAGAGCCAGGAGCGUCCCGAGCUUUCAGGGAGGGGCCAAGGAGCAGCUCUGAGCCCCCGUGGAGGGAAAAGCAGCUCCAGAUCUCUGCCUCUGGAUGAAUCCCAAGCUCCCAACACCCAACAGGAUCCCUGGGACAUCCCUGGAGCUGCCGAGUGCCGGCUCCCCCUGGCUCGGGGGGGAUUUUCCAUCCGUGCAGAGGGUGAGGGCGGCAUUCACCUCCCUCCCCUGACCCUUCCCAGGGCUGCGCCUCAUCCCUGCCCUUCCCUGGGAUACUCCUGCUGGGAACUGGGCUCCUGCGGGACACAGCCUGGCUGUGCAGGUGACAGAGAUGUGACCUGAGCCGAGGUUCGGCUGUGCCAGGCGCUCCCGGCCGUGCCCGCCGGGCGCUUUUGGGGUGUUUCAGCGGUUUGGGGUGUUUGUUUCGGGCUGAGCGGCUCUGGGCGAUCCCCAGGUCUCUUCCCAGAGCUGUGAACAGCAGAUGGCAUCCCUGGGCUGAGCUGCGGCUGGAGCUCCGCAGCCCCUCCCGCUGUCCUGGGCUGCCCUGGCCGGGGCAGCUCCAAAAUCCCAUUCCAGGUGGUGCAAGGUCCAACAAAGAAUGCUGCGCGUCUCCUCAGGGGUUUUCUUCCCAUGGAAAGACAUCCCCGACACCUCCCAGAGGCUGGGACAGAGCUGGAUUUGGAUCCAAAGAGUCCCUGAUGCUGCUGCCCAGCUCCAGUCCAGGAAAAAUCUCCGGGGCUAGGUCUGGUGCAGCUCCCCGAGCUCUGCAGUCAUUCCCGUGGGAUGAGAGACCCGCAGAGCUCCUUUCCCUGGAUAAAUGUUGGGUUUGUCACAAACCUUCCCCCAUCCCUGGGGGCUGCAGGAAGCCCUGGGCCGGUCCCUCUGUCCCAGGCAGCCCCCGGGACCCUCUGUGCCUGCUCUCCUUUAUCCCAACCCAGCCGAGCGCUUGGAGUUUUCCAGGCACAAAAGGAUCCCGGAGCGGCCCCGGCCGUGUCCUCGCCUGAACUCCCCACGCUCGGAGUUUACUGAGAGGCUUUUCAGCCUCGGUGGCUGCUCCGACACAGAGGGCUGGGCUGGCCCUGCUGCCAAAAAUCAUCGGUUAUCGGCCCCGAGCAGGCUUUGUCUGCACAAACAGGAAACUUCCUGAAGGAACAGCUUCCAAAGGAUCCGGUGGCGGAGCAGAAAUGAUUCCUGCACCUCGCUGUGGGCCCAGGACACGCGGCUGGGCUGGUCCUGGCUGUUGGGGACAAUGUUUUGGGGGUUUUUUGUUAUUUUUUAAAAAUUUUUUUGAGGGGAAUUUUGCUUGUUUUGCCUCUGAACGCCUCGGGGUUUCUGCAGCCCC